rnacentral:rRNA from 1 species
AGCGAACGCUGGCGGCAGGCCUAACACAUGCAAGUCGAACGGAUCCUUCGGGAUUAGUGGCGGACGGGUGAGUAACACGUGGGAACGUGCCCUUUGGUUCGGAGCAACUCAGGGAAACUUGAGCUAAUACCGGAUGUGCCCUUCGGGGGAAAGAUUUAUCGCCAUUGGAGCGGCCCGCGUCUGAUUAGCUAGUUGGUGAGGUAACGGCCCACCAAGGCGACGAUCAGUAGCUGGUCUGAGAGGAUGAUCAGCCACACUGGGACUGAGACACGGCCCAGACUCCUACGGGAGGCAGCAGUGGGGAAUCUUGCGCAAUGGGCGAAAGCCUGACGCAGCCAUGCCGCGUGAAUGAUGAAGGUCUUAGGAUUGUAAAAUUCUUUCAGCGGGGACGAUAAUGACGGUACCCGCAGAAGAAGCUCCGGCUAACUUCGU